GUGGUCGCAGGGUCAAGGACCAUGGUCAAGGAGGUCAUGAAUUCCAGGUGGUCACAAGGUCCAGGUGGCCUCAGGGUCCAGGUGGUCAGAGGUCCAGGUGGUCACAAGGUCCAGGUGGCCCAAAGGACCAGGUGCUCACUCUCAAGGUGGUCUUGGUCAAGGUGGUCAGAAGGUUCAAGGUGGCCACAAAGUCCAGGUGGUCACAAGGUCCAGGUGGUCACUCUCAGGGUGGUCACAGGUCCAGGUGGUCACAGGUCCAGGUGGCCCAAAGGACCAGGUGACCAUGAUCAAGGUGGUCACAGGUCCAAGGUGGUCACAGGUCCAGGUGACCUCAAGGUCCAGGUGACCGUGGCCAAGGUGCUCACCAGGUUCAGGUGGCCCCAGGUGAGCCCAAACUCGUUCUUGGCCCAUCUGGGUGGGGUUGGAAUGUCCUGGACAGGUGAGACCUG
rnacentral:lncRNA from 1 species